rnacentral:rRNA from 1 species
UACGAAGGGGGCUAGCGUUGUUCGGAAUUACUGGGCGUAAAGCGUAUGCAGGCGGAUCAUUAAGUCGGGGGUGAAAUCCCGAGGCUCAACCUCGGAACUGCCUUCGAUACUGAUGAUCUUGAGUCCGGGAGAGGUGAGUGGAACUGCGAGUGUAGAGGUGAAAUUCGUAGAUAUCGAGAAGAACACCGGUGGCGAAGGCGGCCAUCUGGACGGUGACUGACGCUGAGACGCGAAAGCGUGGGGAGCAAACAGG